rnacentral:rRNA from 1 species
UACAGGGGGGGCGAGCGUUGUUCGGAAUGACUGGGCGUAAAGGGCGCGUAGGCGGACGGCUUUGUCGGGCGUGAAAUUCCAGGGCUUAACCUUGGGGCUGCGUUCGAGACGGGUUGUCUAGAGUUUGGAAGAGGGUCGUGGAAUUCCCAGUGUAGAGGUGAAAUUCGUAGAUAUUGGGAAGAACACCGGUGGCGAAGGCGGCGACCUGGUCCUUGACUGACGCUGAGGCGCGAAAGCGUGGGGAGCAAACAGG